GAUAAAUGAAAGGAUUUGCAGUAUCUCAGAUCUGGAGGAGAGUUUCUUCAUUCUUAUCACUAAAAUGAAAGGCAAAUUAGGGUCUACCGACAGUUUCACAAUUCUUAGGGUGGAGCUUUGUGAGAAUGGAUACAGCAGAGAGGAGUUCAGAAUAUUUCCACAGAAGCAGCUCUUGUGUUACUCUAUGUCAUUGUGCAGUUCUUCUUCAGACACUAUGAUGUUCUUUUACAUCACAGUUUUGACACUUCUUACAGAAGUUGUUUUUGCAAAUCCAAUCACGUCAAUCUCUACUGAAAAGCAUGCUUUAGAAGGAAAAAAGUUUACUCUUUCCUGCAGCUACAGUGAAAGUAAUAUAAAGAGUCUUCAGUGGUACACACAGUAUCCCAAAACUGCCCCAGAAUUUCUCCUACAAGUUUUGGAAAAUAUGGGUCCAGAGAAGAAGGACUGUCAUGUUGCUGAAGCUCAUAAGGACAAGAAACAACUGGACUUGGAGAUCUCCAAAACUGAAGUGACAGAUGCUGCAAUAUACUACUGUGCUGUGGUGCCCACAGUAACAGGAAACCCUUCUACACUGUACAAAAACAGAAUGUUCAUGCAAAUACAAUAACACCCCUCUCUACUAAAAAGGAUGCUUUAGAAGGAGAAAAGGUUACUAUUUACUGUAACUAUAGUGGAAGUAGUAUUAACAGUUUUCAGUGGUACAGACAGUAUGCCAACACUGCCCCAGAAUUUCUCCUAAUGUCUUUUGAGAAUGCGGAUCCAGCACAGAAGGACCGACUUGCUGCUAAAGCUCAUAAGGACAAGAAACAACUUGACCUGGAGAUCUCCAAAACUGAAGUGGCAGACGCUGCAAUAUACUACUGUGCCCUGGUGCCCACAGUAAGAGGAAACCCUUCUACACUGUACAAAAACCUGUGA